rnacentral:sRNA from 1 species
GCGCGCUUCUCCGUCUGGAACUUCCCACCUGCAUGUACCGGCUCCCCAACGUGCAAUGCUGGAGCCGCGGCCCAGCGCCCUGCGUUGGCCACGUGCGGAAGGCAGUGACUUUGAAGAUAGCUUCAAUCGCAAUGUGAAGAAGAAAGCAAAAGGACCACCGAAAACAACGCCGGUGGCAAACAUCCAAAGAAAGGUUCCGAGUGGCACAUCGUCAUAGCCGGAAACAGUCAGAGCCACCAGCCAAUGAUCUUUUCAAUGCUGUGAAAGCCACCAAAAGUGACAUGAAG